GACGAACGCUGGCGGUGUGCUUAACACAUGCAAGUCGAACGGUAAGGCCCCUUCGGGGGUACACGAGUGGCGAACGGGUGAGUAACACGUGAGUAACCUGCCCUCAUCUCUGGGAUAACAGUCGGAAACGGUUGCUAAUACUGGAUAUGAGCUUGCAAGGCAUCUUGUGGGUUGGAAAGAUUUUUUUUGGUUGGGGAUGGACUCGCGGCCUAUCAGCUUGUUGGUGAGGUAGUGGCUCACCAAGGCUUCGACGGGUAGCCGGCCUGAGAGGGCGACCGGCCACAUUGGGACUGAGAUACGGCCCAAACUCCUACGGGAGGCAGCAGUGGGGAAUAUUGCACAAUGGACGGAAGUCUGAUGCAGCAACGCCGCGUGCGGGAUGACGGCCUUCGGGUUGUAAACCACUGUCAAUUGUGACGAAGCUUUUUUGUGACGGUAGCAGUAGAAGAAGCACCGGCUAACUACGUG
rnacentral:rRNA from 1 species